AUUGAACGCUGGCGGCAUGCCUUACACAUGCAAGUCGAACGGCAGCACGGGAGCAAUCCUGGUGGCGAGUGGCGAACGGGUGAGUAAUAUAUCGGAACGUGCCCAGUCGUGGGGGAUAACGCAGCGAAAGCUGUGCUAAUACCGCAUACGAUCUACGGAUGAAAGCGGGGGAUCGCAAGACCUUGCGCGAUUGGAGCGGCCGAUAUCAGAUUAGCUAGUUGGUGGGGUAAAAGCCCACCAAGGCGACGAUCUGUAGCUGAUCUGAGAGGACGACCAGCCACACUGGAACUGAGACACGGUCCAGACUCCUACGGGAGGCAGCAGUGGGGAAUUUUGGACAAUGGGCGCAAGCCUGAUCCAGCAAUGCCGCGUGCAGGAUGAAGGCCUUCGGGUUGUAAACUGCUUUUGUACGGAACGAAACGGCUCUUUCUAAUAAAGAGGGCUAAUGACGGUACCGUAGAAUAAGCACCGGCUAACUACGUGCCAGCCGCCGCCGUAA
rnacentral:rRNA from 1 species